UGUUGAAGUAAGAACUGCUGGCCAAAUAUACUUGGCGCCAGUCCACUUCUAUAAAACAACCUGCUGACAACUAAUAUGAUCCGUCUAGUGCGCAUGCGCAGCUAGAAAAGUAAUAUGGCCGCUAAGGUGGAGAUGCCUGUUCUGUCAGACACGAAUAGAUAACGGCGUCAAACCUUAAGCAGCAAACCUAACCUCCAUUUUGUUUUAGAUUUGUGUUUCCAAGUUUGUUAAAUCAACGAUUAAACUGUACAAAAUACCUGUAUUUGUCAAUCCACCCUUACAUGGUAAUCAGAACCCUAACAUGAUAGCAGAGCUUGUGACGACCACCCUCACAUAAUAGCAGAGCUUGUGACGAGCACCCUCACAUAAUAGCAGAGCUUGUGACGUUAAAAGCAAUCCACAAUCAACAAGAAGUUGGUGUUAAAAUGAGUUAUCAAGAAGAAAUGGAUCAAUCCCACGUGUCAACAAUGGAAGUUCCAGAAAACAUUUUCGAGAUGCUGACCAACCAGAGUUUUACUCUUACAGUUACACUUUACCCGAGGCAACCAGAACCUAUGAUUCUGUGAAGAAUGCAUUUUUAGAGGUAGCAAACUGCCAGUACUUCAGAGAGGUUGACAACAGUAUGUAUACAGGUAGUAGUUUGAAUGAUAUUUGUUCUGAAUGUUUUAAUGACACAGAUAGGAAUCUCGAGACCGAGAUCAAUGAAGUUUAUACUGCAUGUUCCUUAUGUUUUGAUUAUCCCAUUGGAGAAUCUAAUAUGUUCACGAAUAAUCUUAAUUCUGUUUCAGUUCUCUACUUUAAAUGUGGAAAGAGUGAUAAUAAUAUAUGUGAUUUCUGUUUAGAGUCGACAUGAUAGGUUAUAUAGGUAGCCCCAUACGAAGAAAGAAAAAAAAAAUUCUUUCAAAAGUCCUUCUGUCAAGUCUUCUGUUACGACAUCUGAACUGGGUUGAGCCCCCUUCUGGGACGAGCUCCCUUCCAUUCAGACAGCUGAACUUGGUUGAGCCCCCUUCUGGGUUGAACUCCCUUCCGUUCAGACAGCUGAACUGGGUUGAGCUCCCUUCUGGGUUGGGUUCCCUUCCGUUCAGCCUUUCUAGAACUUGCUUAGAGAUAGAGUGAGAAUUACGAGUGUUUUGAGAAUAAACAACUAAAAUCAUCAUCUGGUUGUUGUAGGAUGCAAAGAUACUGAAAAGUAUACUUCUGAGGAAACUGCAUCUCCUACACCAACUCUAUCAGUAGUUAAAUUAUUAUUUGCAUUAUCAGUUUCUAGAAAAUGGCAUAUUGAACAGUUGGACAUCAAAACAGCAUUUCUUUAUGGUGAAAUUGACAGACCAAAAUAU